GUACAUAAUAAAAGAUGGUGAUGUGAAGAUAGCUGAAGAUCUCCAUUUUCUUUUCCCUGAAAGCAGCAGAGAAGGAAGGUCAAGGAGCUUGCCUGAUCUUGAAAGAGAAGAGAUGAAAAAUAUCUGUGAUGGGAGGAACUGAAGAACAUUUUCGAAGGUCUCAAGGCAUUUCACACCCUAGGAAAGAAUCACUAUCCACACUUUACAAGUGGGAACAAGGCAUUGGAAGCAUCAGGAGAUGUCCCAAGGAGAAAUGGCAGAAGAGAAGAUACUCCCUCAAAGCCUGUCUGAUGACUAUCCACGAAGCCAAACUCUUUUGCUGGAGUAAGAGAUUCAGUUUACUGAGCAAUCGUGACUUGCUUCAAAACAUUUUAUCUGUUUAG
rnacentral:lncRNA from 1 species